rnacentral:lncRNA from 1 species
CUAUAUUUGUGAAUUGUGAACUUUUCAUAUUUGAUAGGUGAACACUAGCACUGACAACAAUGGCACCUACAGAACAAAGAAUAUGUUGAUAUCUCAUGCAAUUGGUCUCACACUUACUACACCAAUAUAGCCAUCUACCAAAUUAUAAAGUACUUGACAUAUUUCUUCAUUUCAUGACUCCAACAUAAUUGUCUCCAAAUCAAUGAUAAAAAAAAC